AGAGUUUGAUCCUGGCUCAGGAUGAACGCUAGCGGCAGGCUUAAUACAUGCAAGUCGAGGGGCAGCGCGGUGUAGCAAUACACUGGCGGCGACCGGCAAACGGGUGCGGAACACGUACAGAACCUUCCUUCGAGCGGGGAAUAGCCCAGAGAAAUUUGGAUUAAUACCCCAUAGUAUAAUGAAAAGGCAUCUUUUUAUUAUUAAAGAUUUAUCACUUGAAGAUGGCUGUGCGGCUGAUUAGGUAGUUGGCGGGGUAACGGCCCACCAAGCCUACGAUCAGUAACUGGUGUGAGAGCACGACCAGUCACACGGGCACUGAGACACGGGCCCGACUCCUACAGGAGGCAGCAGUAAGGAAUAUUGGUCAAUGGACGCAAGUCUGAACCAGCCAUGCCGCGUGGAGGAUGAAGGUCCUCUGGAUUGUAAACUUCUUUUAUAUGGGACGAAAAAGGGCCUUUCCAGGUCAACUGACGGUACCAUAUGAAUAAGCACCGGCUAACUCCGUGCCAGCAGCCGCGGUAAUACGGAGGGUGCAAGCGUUAUCCGGAUUCACUGGGUUUAAAGGGUGCGUAGGUGGGUUGGUAAGUCAGUGGUGAAAUCCCCGAGCUUAACUCGGGAACUGCCAUUGAUACUAUCAGUCUUGAAUACCGUGGAGGUCAGCGGAAUAUGUCAUGUAGCGGUGAAAUGCUUAGAUAUGACAUAGAACACCAAUUGCGAAGGCAGCUGGCUACACGAAUAUUGACACUGAGGCACGAAAGCGUGGGGAUCAAACAGGAUUAGAUACCCUGGUAGUCCACGCCCUAAACUAUGGAUACUCGACAUACGCGAUACACUGUGUGUGUCUGAGCGAAAGCAUUAAGUAUCCCACCUGGGAAGUACGAUCGCAGAUGAAACUCAAGGAUUGACGG
rnacentral:rRNA from 1 species